GCCAGUGUCGCAUAAUCUGGUAUUGCGCUGGUCUUGAAAACCAGUCCCUUUGGGAUUGCCGGUUCAAAUCCGGCCGCUGGCG
rnacentral:tRNA from 1 species